GGACGGUUGAACAGAUAAACCAUGGCACCGCUCAGGCAAGGAAUGGCUCUCUAUUUUUGGCGGAACAGGAAGGGAGCAACCAGGAAACAGUGAGAUCGUUCGAAAUGGUGGUUCUGCAACAAUACAUCAUUUCUUUGUCCUAGAUUUGUUAAUGGAAUUGGAAAAGAGAUGUUGGUGUUGUCCCUGUCUAAUAGAUGACACAAUGUACAUGUUGGUCUGGGCUGGAGGCCUGGAGCAUUGGAGCUCUUGCGCGGCUGCGCCCCAAAGUCGUGCAAAUGGCUUCUACUGUCAUUAUUCUGCAUCGAGCAGAAUGCCACCGCAACCCAGGACCAUGUGAGUCAUUCUGGGCAUCAAUGUGCUAUAUCGUAGAUCCUCCUCUUGCAGCUAUUAAACUGGCUCAUGGUGUCGAUAGCCUUAUAUUGGAGAUUAAGAAUGGCUCUCUAUUUUUGUCGGAACAGGAAGGGAGCAAGCAGGAAACAGUGAGAACGUUCGGAAUGGUGGUUCUGCAACAAUACAACAUUUCUUUGUCCUAGAUUUGUUAAUGGAAUUGGAAAAGAGAUGUUGGUGUUGUCCCUGUCUAAUAGAUGACACAAUGUACAGGUUGGUCUGGGCUGGAGCAUUGGAGCUCUUGCGCGGCUGCGCCCCAAAGUCGGGCAAAUGGCUUCUACUCAAUAUUGCAAAUUGGGAGCUAUUCACAAGUCUUAUUUAUUCUGGUGUGGAGGUGUUAACCGCACACCACCAUUAGCAGGUCAAGUAACGCUCUGAACUUAUGUCAUUAGUACUGGAUUGGGUCUUUUAUUUUCCGUCACUGCCUGUCACGUCACAUCCUCACCAUCCCUGGACAGCACCUGCAGUACGCCACUCGGUAGCCUUUCCACGAUGACAUCGACAUCAGCUGUAUCUUGGAUGGGUUUUCUGCUAUCCUCACCUCAUGAGGCCAUUAACUAGCUUGAUGAGGCGGGCAUCAGCCGGAGGUUGGAGCCAACAGAGCCAACAUUAGGUGCUAUGGCGUGGCCUUCUUCUCUUCUCAGGAAAUCAAGUUCUUGCGAACGGAACACAGCUUGCUUGCUCUCAAACACGUGUAGCCUCUUUCAUUCUAUGGCUGAUCGCUGGCAAAGCUCUGAAAUCAUUUGGAUUGUGGUUAUUCAAGCUAUGGUAUCAGGAAGGACUUAUGUUGAGAAAUGGCAGGACCACGAUUGUCGCAAAAAUGGUGAGAUAGGGCAAGCAAUCUGCUAUGUUCUCAACAGUGUCUUUGAGUACCUGCCAAAUGGAUCUCUUUACGAGCAUCUUCAAGGUAAGAUGGGAACCAUCGUGCGUCUGCUUGUAUGAUGACAUUGGACUGAAAUACUAUUUGCUUUGAUCAUGCGUCUCUCGGUUUCAGAUGGGAAGGAUGUCAGCUAUCUUGGCCCUGUCGGGUGGAGAUCGUGUGCAUUCUAAGUCACUUGCAAACUGACAUGCAGCUUCCAUUCGCCGUCGCUGCUGAAUCAUGCUUUCAUGUACAGAGUGACUAUUAUUUUUCUUCUUAAUAUUGAGAGCAUUGUUAAUCUGCAGUUUGGAUGUGGAGAAAUAAUGCUUAGUUUGAUGUUAGUCUCUUUUACAAAUAUGUCUGUCAUUCUAUUGAAUGUGUUAUAAUGACACACUUGAUGAAGCAGCUGCACUUAAUAUUCAGGUGAUCAUAAUCAUGUUUGUUUCUGUAUUUUGAUGUCAUGCUCUGUGAUGAAUGUAAACAUGAGUUCUGCAUAUUUAGUAAAGAAGAUAAUAGAGACGAACUAGAAAACUUCGGUCUUGCUAAAUGGAAGGCUGACAAUGCUAAAGCUGGGGAAUACUGGUAUGGACAAACUCUGUAAAUUCCAUGCUACUGUUAACUCUGUUUCAUAAUGUGCUACCCUUCUGCUCUUGUAUUUCUAACAAUGCCAAGAUUUUUUUGUAAUGUCCAUUGUAAAAAUACUUAGCAUAGUUUCUCUUAGAAUGGACGUAUGCUUUUCCUUUCACAGUUUUGUUUUGCUGACGAAGCUUAGGUAAUGUAUUUUCCAGGUACACUCCUGGAAACCUGUAUUCCAGAAUCCGGUACACUCCAGAAGGUGCUGCUUGUGAAUUGGCCCUUCAUGCUUUGCAAAUGGAGGCACGAAGAUGGCCUGCAAGGAUCCUCUGGAUUGGCUUGUCCCUUACUUAGGUCAGUGAGGUUUGUUACUCUUUUAGAUUGGAAACGAUCCAGUGGCUGCUCAGCAAAAAGUUUCAGAUAAAAAGGGUACAUAGUGUAAUUGGAAGCUUUAACUUAAAUCUUUGUACCACACAUACUACUGAUACUUACUUGAACAGUGUGCCUUUUGAGGUAUUGUACCACACAUACUACUGAUACUUGCUUGAACAGUGUGACAGAACUAAUAUUUGUUG